UACGUAGGGUGCGAGCGUUAAUCGGAAUUACUGGGCGUAAAGUGUGCGCAGGCGGCCGCGCAAGUCGAGUGUGAAAUCCCCGAGCUUAACUUGGGAAUUGCGCUCGAAACUACGUGGCUGGAGUGUGGCAGAGGAAGGUGGAAUUCCACGUGUAGCGGUGAAAAUGCGUAGAGAUGUGGAGGAACACCGAUGGCGAAGGCAGCCUCUGGGCCAACACUGGACGCUCAUGCACGAAAGCGUGGGGGAGCAAACAGGA
rnacentral:rRNA from 1 species